rnacentral:rRNA from 1 species
CCCGCACAAGCGGUGGAGCAUGUGGUUUAAUUCGAUGCAACGCGAAGAACCUUUACCUACUCUUGACAUCCAGAGAACUUUCCAGAGAUGGAUUGGUGCCUUCGGGAACUCUGAGACAGGUGCUGCAUGGCUGUCGUCAGCUCGUGUUGUGAAAUGUUGGGUUAAGUCCCGCAACGAGCGCAACCCUUAUCCUUUGUUGCCAGCGGUCCGGCCGGGAACUCAAAGGAGACUGCCAGUGAUAAACUGGAGGAAGGUGGGAUGACGUCAAGUCAUCAUGGCCCUUACGAGUAGGGCUACACACGUGCUACAAUGGCGCAUACAAAGAGAAGCGAACUCGAGAGAGCAAGCGGACCUCAUAAAGUGCGUCGUAGUCCGGAUUGGAGUCUGCAACUCGACUCCAUGAAGUCGGAAUCGCUAGUAAUCGUAGAUCAGAAUGCUACGGUGAAUACGUUCCCGGGCCUU